AAAUUGAAGAGUUUGAUCAUGGCUCAGAUUGAACGCUGGCGGCAGGCCUAACACAUGCAAGUCGAACGGUAACAGGAAACAGCUUGCUGUUUCGCUGACGAGUGGCGGACGGGUGAGUAAUGUCUGGGAAACUGCCUGAUGGAGGGGGAUAACUACUGGAAACGGUAGCUAAUACCGCAUAACGUCGCAAGACCAAAGAGGGGGACCUUCGGGCCUCUUGCCAUCGGAUGUGCCCAGAUGGGAUUAGCUAGUAGGUGGGGUAACGGCUCACCUAGGCGACGAUCCCUAGCUGGUCUGAGAGGAUGACCAGCCACACUGGAACUGAGACACGGUCCAGACUCCUACGGGAGGCAGCAGUGGGGAAUAUUGCACAAUGGGCGCAAGCCUGAUGCAGCCAUGCCGCGUGUAUGAAGAAGGCCUUCGGGUUGUAAAGUACUUUCAGCGGGGAGGAAGGGAGUAAAGUUAAUACCUUUGCUCAUUGACGUUACCCACAGAAGAAGCACCGGCUAACUCCGUGCCAGCAGCCGCGGUAAUACGGAGGGUGCAAGCGUUAAUCGGAAUUACUGGGCGUAAAGCGCACGCAGGCGGUUUGUUAAGUCAGAUGUGAAAUCCCCGGGCUCAACCUGGGAACUGCAUCUGAUACUGGCAAGCUUGAGUCUCGUAGAGGGGGGUAGAAUUCCAGGUGUAGCGGUGAAAUGCGUAGAGAUCUGGAGGAAUACCGGUGGCGAAGGCGGCCCCCUGGACGAAGACUGACGCUCAGGUGCGAAAGCGUGGGGAGCAAACAGGAUUAGAUACCCUGGUAGUCCACGCCGUAAACGAUGUCGACUUGGAGGUUGUGCCCUUGAGGCGUGGCUUCCGGAGCUAACGCGUUAAGUCGACCGCCUGGGGAGUACGGCCGCAAGGUUAAAACUCAAAUGAAUUGACGGGGGCCCGCACAAGCGGUGGAGCAUGUGGUUUAAUUCGAUGCAACGCGAAGAACCUUACCUGGUCUUGACAUCCACAGAACUUUCCAGAGAUGGAUUGGUGCCUUCGGGAACUGUGAGACAGGUGCUGCAUGGCUGUCGUCAGCUCGUGUUGUGAAAUGUUGGGUUAAGUCCCGCAACGAGCGCAACCCUUAUCCUUUGUUGCCAGCGGUCCGGCCGGGAACUCAAAGGAGACUGCCAGUGAUAAACUGGAGGAAGGUGGGGAUGACGUCAAGUCAUCAUGGCCCUUACGACCAGGGCUACACACGUGCUACAAUGGCGCAUACAAAGAGAAGCGACCUCGCGAGAGCAAGCGGACCUCAUAAAGUGCGUCGUAGUCCGGAUUGGAGUCUGCAACUCGACUCCAUGAAGUCGGAAUCGCUAGUAAUCGUGGAUCAGAAUGCCACGGUGAAUACGUUCCCGGGCCUUGUACACACCGCCCGUCACACCAUGGGAGUGGGUUGCAAAAGAAGUAGGUAGCUUAACCUUCGGGAGGGCGCUUACCACUUUGUGAUUCAUGACUGGGGUGAAGUCGUAACAAGGUAACCGUAGGGGAACCUGCGGUUGGAUCACCUCCUUA
rnacentral:rRNA from 1 species